UACAACAUAAUGGUACUCCAGCAAUCUUCACUUGCCUAAUUCUAAUCCUCACUACAUACACUACAUCAUUAAUACACUACAUAAAUGUAUUAACAUCCAUCUAACUACUUCAUUACAUCUAACUACAUUACAUACACUCCAUCAAUCAUACUCCAACAACAACGAUCCAAUCUCUCACUAAUGUCAUUUCUUGACUUGCAUUAACAUUCACCCAAUCUGACACAUCAUAAUCAGUUUGGCCAUGCGAACUGUAAACCCUAAAAUUUAGUAGGAAAAAAAUAUAAUAAUAAUAAUAUAUAUCAUAAAAUAAUAAAAUAAAUAAAUAAGAAUAUAGAAUAGUGUUGUGAGAAUAUUUUUUUUGUGAAGACCUUUGAAAAUCUAUUAGAACUCUCCCUCCUCGUGUUUAAACAAUAAUAUUAAGUUAAAAUUAAGAGACCAAUAAAUAGUUGAGGGGAGGUUGACCUUUUGCCAAAGGUUUUGUAGUAAUGCAUUUUAUUGGCAACAUGAAUUAGACCUCCGAUUUUAAAUGAAGACAUAAAAUGAGAAAAGGAGAAAUGGGAUUCUAGUGCAACUAUUUAUUUCUUCCAUAAGUGAAUAACAAGGAAAAUAAAUAAUAAUAUGAAAAACAGUAGGGAUUAUAUUUACAUCAUUAUUAAUUUUGGAACUCGCAAAUCUGAAAGAAAUCAAAAGGGGAAUUUGAAUUUGGUUUGAGUACUUGAAAUCGAAAACAAAGCAGAAAAAUUCAUAAAAGAAAAGGAAAAGAAAAUUUGGCAGACCUCGUUUUGGGCCCAAAGUCGCUGCUCGGCCCAUCUCCCGUACAUAAACAACACGGUCAUUUGGGCUGUAUCCCUCGCCCGCCGGCCCACUCCACGUCGCAGCGCCUCAGCCACACAUGCACGCUUGAACCCACUUGGCUGUCGCGUGGGGCCCGGACGUCAGGAACUCCUUCCUCCCUUAUCCACUUUUCUGUUGGGCGCUGUUUCUCUUCCUGGUGAGAUCUCCGCGGAGCUUGAACCAGUGACGAAAUCCGUUGGGAUUUGGUGGGCGCCUGUGGCUGGGUCUUCUUCUCCCCUCGCGCGACUCGCUCGCUCACCGGCCGCCGGGGAACUCGGGGUCAGUUUGGCCGACUGAUUACCUCCGCCCACCUCUACAUAAAGGACCUAGCCGCGACCUCUUUGUCCUCCGAACCCAUGGCGUCGUGCCCAACCCAGGUCCCGUCGCGGGCGAAGCUGGGAUGAACACCACCGCCCAGGAAACUCACCUGCGCUGCCAUUUUGUGCGCAUGGUCGGGCCGUGGUGUGUCACGGGUGAAUGGUGAAGUUGUUCCUGGGCAAUAGUGGCAUUUUUAGCUCUGUCGAUGUUAUAAAGACAAUGAUAUUGGGCUCUCAAGGGUGUAGAUCCCAACCAGAUGUCAUCCUAGAACCGGACCUGUGUGCCGUCCUGUACCUUAAAAGCUCUAAAACUGAAAAACUCAUGUUUGAUCUUCAUUAGGCCACACAAAAAAUAUGAAUCUCCCUGCCUCCAUUCUGCUUGGGAUAGAGGGAUUGAUCUAAGGUAUUUAUUUCGAAGCAAUUGUUGCCAUAUUCCAUCUGAGUUCAGAAGAUUGAAGAGCCAUUUACCAAGCAUAGUUGUGUUUUUAAUCCUCAAAUCGUGGAGACCUAAACCACUUUGGUUCCUAGGUUGGGUGAGUAUCUUCCACUUCACUAGUCGAUAUUUUUUCUUAUGUUCGUCUCCUUGCCAAAAGAAGCGGGAUCUGAAGUAAUCUAAUUUUUUUCAUCACGCCUUUGAGAACGUCGAAGAAAGGCAUCAUAUACAUUGGCAGGCAAGUGAGCACCGAGUUGAUUAGUGUCAAUCUGCCCCCGAUAGAGAGAUGUUUGCCUUUCCAACUACUCAGGCGCUUUUCAAAUCGUUCCUCAACUCGCCUUCAAUCCGAGUUCCUUAACUUCUUAAACUGAAUGGGAAUACCAAGAUAAUUGCUCGAAGGUAAGAAGGGCAAGAAGGGCGGGCCUGGUGCAGCGGUAGAGCCUACCGUCUAUAACCGGAAGGUCCCGGGUUUGAGUCCCAGCCUCUGCAUAUUAUGCGGGUAAGGAUUGACGCUUAUCUAUAAUCGGAAGGUCCCGGGUUUGAGUCCCAGCCUCUGCAUAUUAUGCGGGUAAGGCUUAACGCUUAAAGAUACCCUUUCCCAGACUCCGCACAGUGCGGGAAGCCUACGACACUGGGUACACCCCUUUUUUUUAUAAUUGCUCGAAGGCACAUAGUAUGAGUUUCAUAUUUCUAGCUUUUUGAGGAUGAUGAGUUAAUUAAAGCUUUGUAUGAGAUGUCUUCGGAUCCAAGGUGGAAAGGGGAAUGAGGCUUCAAGAAUGGAUAUACUUCUACACUUGAGGCUGUUCUUGCUGAAAGGUUACCAAAUAGUGGGAUAUCUGCAGUUCCACACAUUGACUCUAGAGUUAGGAAUUUUAGAAAAAAAAAUUGGAGCAAUAAAGUUAAUGCUGAAAAAUAGUGGCUUCACCUGGGAUGACAAUAAGAAGAUGAUCCAAUGUGAAAGGAGUCAAUAUGAAGCUCAUUGCAAGAAACAUCCUGAAGCUAGAGGCCUAUAUGACGUCGCAUUCCCAUAUUUUGAUGCAUUGUCGACCAUAUAUGGAAAUGAUAUAGCUACCGGUGAAGGUGCGGAAGGGAUUGAUGAAGCCGUUGGGAACUUAGAACAAGAGCUUGCUACUGGGUAUGGUAAUGAUCAUGAAGAAGAGGAGGGCAUGAGAUCUAUAGAACCCCUAGGUGGUCUACUGAUUCAGCAUCAUCAAGUGUGAAGAGGAGGAGGACAUCUGGGAAGGAGAAGAGUGGAUCAAGUGACCCUCUUUUGGACAUGUUAAAUGAAGUCCAAGGUGAUCUAAAGGGUGUGGCUAUGAAUGUUGGAAAAAUGACAGCGGUUAUGGAGCGCGAGGCUGAACUUCAAGAAAAAAUUAAGGGAUAAGGCAGUAGCAGAGCUACGCAAGCUUGGAUUUACCCGGACUGAACAGAUCAAGGCAGCAGCUGUGUUUGUGAAAACACCAGAUCAAAUGAGCAUGCUUCUAACACUUUACGAGACUUUGAGGAGAGAGUUCAUCCUACACAUGCUUGAUAUUUGUUGCAUGCUCAGUUCUUCGGUUGCCUAGAAGUAGUAGUAGUAUUUGCUAGUUUCUAGUUGGUUAAUUCCAUUGCACAGCUUAGUUGCCCCUUUAAAUUCCAUUGCCUAGUUGCUUAAUUCCAUUGUUAGUUUCUCUAUUUCUAUUGCCUAGCAGUAGUAGUAGUAAGUAAGUAGUACAUAGUAUUUGUUAGUUUCUAAGAUCAUGUUAACUCGCUGCAUUUUUGAUAAGUCGCUUGUAAUAUGCCUCCUGUUGCUGUUUGAUUGACAAUAGCAUGCUUCUCCUUUAUUUUCUUAUGUUGGGAACCCUGUUUUUUAGAGGAUGAGGAAAGGAGGCAGAUGGAAAGUGGAAAAAGGUAGAAGUUUGCAUACUCAAGACUUGAAAGUGGAACAAGAAGGCGAAGAUCAUGCAUUUUGUGGUCUUAGCGAUGCUUGCUUCAGUACAUUCGGACAGGAGCUUGCACAGUCGGCGAGUGCUUAGUGAUGCAGUACAAGAUGCAUGUCUUGUUACACCAUUGUUAAUUUUCUAAUUUUCUUUGAAUUUUCGAAUCUGGAAUCUUAAAUUUCUUAAUUAUUGAAUCUGAAAUCUUGGGUAUAUACAAUACAAAGUCUGAAAU